CAAGACUUGUAUUACAAAUAUGUUUCGAAUCUUUUGGGGUGUUUUGAAUCUUUUGGGGUGUUUCGAAUAUUUUGGGGUGUUUCGAAUAUUUUGGAGUGUUUCGAAUCUUUUGGGAGUGUUUCGAAUCUUUUGGGGGGUGUUUCGAAUCUUUUGGGGGGUGUUUCAGAUUAACCGUUGCAAUUUGACUUGCAUAUUGAGGUGCUUUGUGACCCCUGGGGUGCAAUUAUUUUUUGUGGGGUGUUUUGCACAUAUGGGCCACCGUAAUCUUAAGCUCGCUAAUGACAGUUUUGCAACCGAAUGCUCAACAGAAGAUUUCUCCAGACAAAACAAAGUAAUCAGCUGUUUUGUUUAAGUGCCGGGUCUGAGCAUCUUGCAAAGAAUGUCGGAUUUACUUUUGGACUGAUAGCGAAUACGUUUUGUUUCCUUUAGGCAUUUUAAU
rnacentral:lncRNA from 1 species